UGCAAGUCGAGGGGCAGCACGAUGUAGCAAUACAUUGGUGGCGACCGGCGCACGGGUGCGUAACACGUAUGGAACUUGCCCUUUACUGGAGGAUAGCCCGGAGAAAUCCGGAUUAAUACUCCAUAACAAUCGAGGUGGCAUCACCUUGAUUUGAAAGCUCCGGCGGUAAAGGAUGGCCAUGCGCACGAUUAGCUAGUUGGUGAGGUAACGGCUCACCAAGGCUACGAUCGUUAGGGGGCCUGAGAGGGUUAUCCCCCACACUGGUACUGAGACACGGACCAGACUCCUACGGGAGGCAGCAGUGAGGAAUAUUGCGCAAUGGAGGCAACUCUGACGCAGCCAUGCCGCGUGCAGGAAGAAGGCGCUACGCGUUGUAAACUGCUUUUAACCGGGAAGAAACCCCAGGACGUGUCCUGGGUUGACGGUACCGGAGGAAUAAGCACCGGCUAACUUCGUGCCAGCAGCCGCGGUAAUACGAAGGGUGCAAGCGUUAUCCGGAUUCAUUGGGUUUAAAGGGUGCGUAGGUGGGGCGAUAAGUCAGUGGUGAAAUCCUGCGGCUUAACCGUAGAAUUGCCAUUGAUACUGUCGCUCUUGAGUACGCUUGACGUGGGCGGAAUGUGCCGUGUAGCGGUGAAAUGCUUAGAUAUGGCACAGAACACCGAUAGUGAAGACAGCUCACGAAGGCGAAACUGACACUGAGGCACGAAAGCGUGGGGAUCGAACAGGAUUAGAUACCCUGGUAGUCCACGCCGUAAACGAUGAUCACUCGUGAUUGGCGAUAUACGGUCAGUCACCUAGCGAAAGCGUUAAGUGAUCCACCUGGGGAGUACGAUCGCAAGAUUGAAACUCAAAGGAAUUGACGGGGGCCCGCACAAGCGGUGGAGCAUGUGGUUUAAUUCGAUGAUACGCGAGGAACCUUACCAGGGCUCGAACGCACGUCGACA
rnacentral:rRNA from 1 species